AUAUUGGACAAUGGGGGCAACCCUGAUCCAGCCAUGGCGCGUGUGUGAAGAAGGUCAUCGGAUUGUAAAGCACUUUAAGUUGGGAGUAAGGGCUUUAGGUUAAUACACUGAAGUUUUGACGUUACCAACAGAAUAAGCACAUGCUAACUCUGUGCCAGCAGCCUCGGUAAUACAGAGGGUGCAAGCGUUAAUCGGCUUUACUGGGCGUAAAGAGCGCGUAGGUGAUUCAGUAAUAUGGGUGUGAAAUCCCCGGGCUUAACCUGGGAACUGCUUUCAUAACUGCUGAGCUAGAGUACGGUAGAUGGUAGUGGAAUUUCCUGUGUAGCGGUGAAAUGCGUAGAUAUAGGAAGGAACACCAGUGGCGAAGGCGACUACCUGGACUGAUACUGACACUGAGGUGCGAAAGCGUGGGGAGCAAACA
rnacentral:rRNA from 1 species